UACGGGAGUGGCAAGCGUUAUCCGGAAUUAUUGGGCGUAAAGCGUCCGCAGGCGGUCUUGUAAGUCUGUUGUUAAAGCGUGGAGCUUAACUCCAUUUCAGCAAUGGAAACUGCAAGACUAGAGUGUGGUAGGGGCAGAGGGAAUUCCCGGUGUAGCGGUGAAAUGCGUAGAUAUCGGGAAGAACACCAGUGGCGAAGGCGCUCUGCUGGGCCAUAACUGACGCUCAUGGACGAAAGCCAGGGGAGCGAAAGGGAUUAGAUACCCCUGUAGUCCUGGCCGUAAACGAUGAACACUAGGUGUCGGGGGAAUCGACCCCCUCGGUGUCGUAGCCAACGCGUUAAGUGUUCCGCCUGGGGAGUACGCACGCAAGUGUGAAACUCAAAGGAAUUGACGGGGGCCCGCACAAGCGGUGGAGUAUGUGGUUUAAUUCGAUGCAACGCGAAGAACCUUACCAGGGUUUGACAUCCUGCGAAUCUCUUGGAAACGAGAGAGUGCCUUCGGGAACGCAGUGACAGGUGGUGCAUGGCUGUCGUCAGCUCGUGUCGUGAGAUGUUGGGUUAAGUCCCGCAACGAGCGCAACCCACGUCGUUAGUUGCCAGCAUUUAGUUGGGCACUCUAGCGAGACCGCCGGUGAUAAACCGGAGGAAGGUGUGGAUGACGUCAAGUCAUCAUGCCCCUUACAUCCUGGGCUACACACGUACUACAAUGCUACGGACAAAGGGCAGCAAACUCGCGAGAGCUAGCAAAUCCCAUAAACCGUGGCUCAGUUCAGAUCGUAGGCUGCAACUCGCCUACGUGAAGGGGGAAUCGCUAGUAAUCGCAGGUCAGCAUACUGCGGUGAAUACGUUCCCGGGCCU
rnacentral:rRNA from 1 species